rnacentral:tRNA from 4 species
GCACCCGUAGCUCAGCAGGAUAGAGCGGCGGCCUCCUAAGCCGUGUGUCGGAGGUUCGAAUCCUCUCGGGUGCGCCA